UGGGGAAUAUUGCACAAUGGGCGAAAGCCUGAUGCAGCAACGCCGCGUGAGUGAUGAAGGUCUUCGGAUUGUAAAGCUCUGUCUUUUGGGACGAUAAUGACGGUACCAAAGGAGGAAGCCACGGCUAACUACGUGCCAGCAGCCGCGGUAAUACGUAGGUGGCGAGCGUUGUCCGGAUUUACUGGGCGUAAAGGGUGCGUAGGCGGAUGUUUAAGUGAGAUAUGAAAUACCCGGGCUUAACUUGGGUGCUGCAUUUCAAACUGGAUAUCUAGAGUGCAGGAGAGGAGAAUGGAAUUCCUAGUGUAGCGGUGAAAUGCGUAGAGAUUAGGAAGAACACCAGUGGCGAAGGCGAUUCUCUGGACUGUAACUGACGCUGAGGCACGAAAGCGUGGGUAGCAAACAGGAUUAGAUACCCUGGUAGUCCACGCCG
rnacentral:rRNA from 1 species